UCAUUCUCAUACCCCUCUCUCUCUCUCUCUCUCUCUCUUUCUCUCUCCAUCGGCGUCUCACACACACGAGCACCACCACCGACCACUGUCCCUCCGAUCACCACCGAAUCGUCUGAGCUGGGAGUUCGAUUUCGAUUUCGAUUUUGAGCCACUGAUUUGAUUUUCUUUGUGAGUUUCUAGGACUGAUCGGAGGAAGAUUCACUCAGGAAAUUUCAAGAGAAAAUAGCUUGUGCAUUGCAUAAAAAUGGUUAGAUCUUUAUGAUACUUGAGGUGUCUUUUUUGCUUGGAUUUAUCCCCAUUUUUGUUGCAUGGAUAUAUUCUGAGUUGUUAGAAUACUAGAAGUCUGCAUCUCCAUCUAAAGUGUAGGGUUUUCUCUUUAACAUGAAGAUCAGUAGAUUAUUGGAUAGAGUACACAACUUUUCGUUUGCACUGGUAAUCUCUGACCUUACACUCGUUUUUCUCACUACACUUCUUUUUCUUGUGCAACUCCCUAACCUUUUCAGUGUAGAAACAAGGAACUAAUUACACAGACUUAUCUUCAGAUCAAUCUAAACAACUGACCUGUUGUGCGCUAGUGGACUGAAAUUUAUAAUGUAUACUAUCAGUACUAGGUAGCUUAAUUAAUUACAAAAUUUAUAUUGUCUUCCCCAUUUUUCAGUUGCAAAACAUAUGCUUUGUGUGAGAUGAUUCUCUAGUACUAGGUAGCUUAUUUGAUUUGCCUCUCUACUUAACAAUCAUAGAUUCAUGAAGUUCAUAUAGUUCAUAUAGUGAGGUGGAAACUAAUCCAAUUCUAUUUUACCUGUAAGAAGGGGAAGUUAAAUUUUUUGUGAUUAUUUUCUGUUGAAUAUUAACGUUUCUGUUUUUCCCCAUUUUGAUUUUAUGGAGAAUUGAAUUUUUCAGAAAGAUCAUCAGGCCAUUGAUAUCCUUCUAGCAGAGAUUGAUAUAUAAGAGCUUUUUGCUUUCAAACAUUGCAAGGGAAGGAAGGUUAAGCUUGCUCUUUGUGAAGGUGAGUUUUUGGUGUAGGCUAUGGAUAAAAAAUGAUUGCUGAUAUUUGGUACUUUCAUGUUAUGUUAAUUGAUUGGAUCUUAAUUAUUAUACACCAAGAUAACUUGGUAGCGGAAGUAAUAAAGUACUAUUGAAGUAAAUGAAUAUUGUGCUCGUCUUUUUCAAUAGUUUGCAUUGUACCUUGUUUGGAGUAGUGAGAGCUAAAGAAUCAUGACUUUGUAUGUGCUGAUUGUUAGUUGAUAUUGAUAUUUGUGUUUAGAUUUUGUUCACAAAUAGAAAUCAAAGUUCUGUUCACAAUGAAACAAAUGUUUUCAUAUGAUGUGUAGGUCUACGAUUUGCUUUCACUUUGAAUCAGGGCAGAGGUUUUGCUGGUUACAGUUAUUGUCAUGACUUAAUGUUCAUGCAUUAUUUUCAGUGGAUUUUGUGGUUUAAUGAUAGAAGUGAUGAGCAUAGUAUUUCCGGUUUUUUCACAACUAAAUUAACAGUUGAGUUGUUUCAAUUAUGCUACGGCGUUCAAAUUUUAUUUUAAACAUCGUGGUAGGAUAGUUAAUCACAGGUUUUUGCACAACCUUUGCUCAAUAAUCUGCAUCACUUGGUUAGGUAGAGUACUCUUGACGAACUUUUGAAGAUUUGGAUUUCUUUAAAACAUAAAUGUCUUCGAUCAGUUUUUUUCCUGUCAACAGUUUACAUCUCUAUUGGAAUAAUCCCAUAACUGUAUGCAUUUCCCAGUGUGUGUGUGUGUGUUUGAUGCAUGGAUCGUAUUGGUGGAGUAGAAAGUCAAUGAUUAAUUUAGCUUUGGAUCUUGUGAUGGUUUCAUAACCCGUGGCAUGUCAUAUCAUAUUGAAAACUGUUGCAGCCUGUUGGGUUGAGUCCUUUAUUCUACAAUGUAACUAGCAUAGAGUUGCUGGUCUACUUCUUGGACUGUUGAAUAGCCUUAGGCCUGAGAAACUACCCAUUUUACUGUCCUUUCAUUGUUUUCAUGUUUGCCUUGCUUGUAUCUAGUUGUUGGCAA